rnacentral:lncRNA from 1 species
CAUGAAUGGAUCUUUAAGUCUGCUACAUUGAGGCACUGAGGGUAGAAGAGCAUGUCGUCAACUUCUGGUCUCAGAUCAGUUCAACUGCUCUAAUCCUAAUCUUAACCAACAUGGGAUGAAAAGCAAAAAACCUUAUAUCCAUGAGGGUUGAAAGAUUCUGGCAACUUUCUCAAGUUUUUAAGAAAUCCUGGUUGGAGAAUUGCGGAAUUCCUGCUUAUUCCCUCCUGAUCCUGGGAAUCUUCCACCCUGGAAAACUUGGAAACCUGGAGGUCUGGAAAACCCAUUCUCACACAUAAACCCAUUCUCACUAAAACAACUGGUCCAGCUAGACUUGGGAGGAGCAUGACCAUUAGACGAACAGAGGGUGAGCAGAGGAGACCAGCGAUGACAUCCAUAGAAAUAUACACUUGGAAGCCUCAAAACACCAAUACCAGGCAGGCGCUUGAGUGAAACCCACAAGACAAAAGAAAGGUUGGCUGCCCAAAGAAGACAUUGAGAAGGACGAAUGAGGAAGAGAUAAAGAAGGCAGGAACCACCUGGAAUGAGGUCAAGAAAACCGCAAAGAACAGAGUUUGCUGAAUAUGCACCGUUCAGGAUCUUUGGAGCUGAAAGGAAUAAAUAGAUUUGUGUGUUUCAGCUUGUGACCAUGGCAUUCUCCCUUGAUCUCUUGGAUGACCUGGAGCAGAAUCAGAAGAGCUGCCGCAAUGAUUGGGUGCUGGAGCAAGACAGGGGGAUAAAAAGAGCACACAUCCCAGGCCCCGCAAAGCAUUGUCAAACAACAAGGAUGUUACUGAGGUCACACUAGACCCAAACACAGCAAACAUAAAUAUCUCACUGACUGAGGAGAACAGAAAGGGGACAUGGGUGGAAGAGGAACAGCCAUAUCAUGAUGGCCCAGAGAGAUUUGAGGAUAUGUCACAGGUGCUGUGUAGAGAGCCUCUUACCAAAUGCCAUUACUGGGAGGCAGAUUUGAUUGGGGAGUGUGAUAUAGGAAUGUCAUAUAAAAUUAUCAGCAGGUGAAGAGAUGAAAAGGAUUGUAAACUGGGAAGCAAUGACAAGUCUUGGUCUCUAUACUUUGAAGAAGAAAACUGUUACCUUGCCUUCCACAAUAAUACGGAGAUUAAUAUUCUUGACCCAACCCCCAGACCCGAACCCCAGAG